GUCAAUUGAGACUCUCGUUUACCUAUUUUUAUCCCAGCCUCCACACUACGCGAGACCGGGGGGCGGGAGUUUCGUCCAUUGUUCCUCCAGACGAAGUUUGGCGCCUGCGCCAUGGCCGCUCCCCGUCGCAGCUACUCCUGCGAGUCCGCCACCCAAACCCUCGACUGGAUGAACGCCAUUGCCGUUUUCCUCGAGCCACUCAAGCCUCUCCUUGACGCCCAUGUCGUCAAUUUCUUUAAGGAUAGGUUGUGGGAGAUGGUUGAUGAGCAGUGGAUGGAAUGCCUCAGGAAAGAAUCGGUAGAAAAUCUCUUGAAAUUACCCUCUGGAUUCGUCCAGAACUAUUGGCCCCAUUCACUUCAAGAAUUUAUAUUGACUUUGAGGUCUCUUGUCUUUCCUCGGGAGCCAAAAUUGUCACAUCUGUUCUUGUGUAAUUUGCAGGUGGCGUCACUUGGUACUGUUCUUACUCAAGGCAUGAGUUUGAAGAAAAAACAUGAAGUGGAGAUUUUAGCUGCAGUCAUCAGGAAAGUAGCCAGUGGUUCUGGAGCUGAGACAAUUGUUGAUGUUGGUUCUGGUCAGGGAUAUCUUGCACAAGCAUUAUCAUUUGAAUAUCAGCUUUCUGUUACAGCAAUAGAUGCUUCUAUGCACCAUGCAACUGUUACCAAUGCUCGUGCUGAGACAAUCAAAAAGCAUUAUGCAGCUAAAAUUGCACAAAGCCAACAUCUCAAGGUUCCUCGAACUGUCACUUGCCAUGUUCUUUCAAGUGACAUACUGACAGCUUUAAGCACUGUCUCAUUGCAUGAAGAUAAUGUUGAACAGUCAACAGACACUGGUAACAGUCUAGAAAAUGCUGUGCUGGAGAACUCGAAAUCACAUAUAGGACAAGCAAGUUAUUUAUAUAAUAACAGAAACAUUCGACUUCCAUUGGUUCUUGCUGGACUUCAUGCUUGUGGAGAUCUUUCAGUGAACAUGCUCAGGACCUUUGUGGACUGCAAACAAGUGAUAGCACUUGUUGGUGUUGGUUGUUGCUACAACUUACUAUCUGAAGACCAGGCUGAGAAGACCCACACUUCAUGUGGUUUUCCAAUGAGCAACGCUGCUAAAUUAUCUAGGUUAACCCUUGGAAAAAAUGCGCGCGAUCUUGCUUGUCAGAGUGCAGAGCGAUGGAGAAGUCUUACUAAAGAUUAUGCACUUCAAAAUUUUGAUGUACAUGCCUUCCGUGCUGCCUUCCAAAUGGUUCUUGAUAAAUACUUUCCGGAUGUCUUAAGAUCAAGCCCAUCAAUUGGUCGAAAAGGGAAAGCUCUACGUCGCCAACGAAUGAGAAACAUUAUUGAAUCUAAGUUGGGUGCAAAAGGAUGCGCUACUGUUCCUUUCUUUACUUCCAAACAACAAUGCAAGUCUGCAGCUUGUUCAUUGACCAUGAAGAAUGAUGAACUUGAAGUGGAUGAUGGAUGUUACAGCAAUAUGACACUAAGAGGUGAUGCAUGUACCACCUCAGAAGAACUUCCACAGUCCAGCUCUAGCUCUGAUAUCAGAUGCCUAGAAACUCCUGUUGAGAAAACUGAUAAUUAUUUGGCUUUUAAAGAAUUCAGCAUGUCUGGACUAAGUCGUCUUGGCUGUGGCCCUUCAGAAGACAUCAAUCUCCUUGAAAUAUGGAAAGAGGCUCAACCUUUCACUGAAUUUGUGGGUCCUUUUUGGUCUCUGCGGGCUGCUCUAGGGCCGCUAGUAGAAACUUACAUUUUGCUUGAUAGGCUCUUGUUUCUUCAAGAGCAAGGCAAUUCAGUGGAGGCAUUGUUGUUUCCUCUAUUUGAUCCUACAAUAUCACCAAGGAAUGUGGUUAUAGUUGCCCGAAAAACUGGUGCAGAUACAGUUGCAACAUGACAUGGUCAUUAUAAGAGGUUCCAUAGAGGCCUUGAGGCCCUUGACCACACAAAACCAGAUGAGCAAUUUGGCAUCUCAUUAUUUUAUCAGCAAUAGGAAAUUGAAGUAUUUAAAGGUUGACAAAGUUUUUUACCGAAAAAAAGAAAAAAGGUUGACAAAGAUGAUGGAGCUGUAUUACACAAGUUUCCAUACUUGAGUAGAAUGAGAUGGUCUUCCCUUCUGGCAUUGAAGGUGCAAUAGAGGCCUAGACAGCCUAUUGACUUACAUCAUGCCUAAGAUCACGGGUGGAAUCAUCCAAUCCGCUACCUCGUUUGUUGCCAUGUGGAGCACGCGGUGUGCUAUGGUUGGUUGCCAGCUGCCCAUGCUAUUUCCUCCACAUUAUGAUGCCUAUGGCUGCUCUUUCAUCUCCUUCAUUGGUCCCUUGUGGAGCAUAGGGCCUUCCAGAUUGGUCUCAUUGGAUUCUCAGCAAGAUGACAGGAGCUCAAUUAUCAAAGAAAAAGAGUGGAAAAGGAUGGGGGCUGUAGCUGUGGAAAUUUUCAUAGCUCAAUACAGUCUUGUCAGAUAAAAAGAGUUUCUUUUCUCUCGUUACAUCAAGAUCUUGGCACUUGCAUUUGUACACUGGAAGGCAUUCUGAAGAGUUCUCAUCUUCACUUUUGAAUGAUGGGGUCAACUUACUGGGAUGAUCACCCAACCAGGAGAUGGAAAUAUUGUUCUGUCUUUCAGGUGUUUUCAUUGCAGCCAAUGGUUUAAGAUCGAGUAUCCUGUGGUUUGUCAUAAAUACUAUAUGGUCUUAUGGCCUUGACAAUUUUGACACUGUUGGAUUGAGAUGUUGUAAUUGUUAGUCUCCUGAUCUUGAUUGGAUAGCCAUGUUCAGGAUGGAUGGCGGCGCGAAAAUGCCGGCCACGUGGAAUGCCCUAGAGAGAUGACGGCUUUGUGCUGCAACUUGUAUGCCCAUGCUGCCUGUCCAUUUCAUGUGGUUGGGGCACUAAUGGAGUUUCCACCUAAUGUACCUUUCAAGUCUUGUUGCAACCAUGUACCUUUGACUCAUACCUCCAAUCCAAGGCAAGGUGGAAGCAAAAUCUAUUGGAUCUUCAGAUUGGGUAUUACUUUGAAUGACAUUGGAUAUAAACUGCUGUAUUCGGUGGUGAGCUCCAUUCUGGAAAUCAAGGCAGCAGAAGUCAAAACCUUCCAUCGGAUGGUGGAACGAGAUUUUUGGGAAGAUUGGCCCUAGAAACAUAGGGCUACAAACGAAUCUGGCUUUAUCUUGGAGUGUUGGACUUUGGUUUGCUGUCCUUCGGGUUCAAGCUCUCUGUUCAUGGAACAAUUUACCGCUAGCUGUAAGAUUCCAAGCAACAGUUUUUACCUUGAAGAACAUGUCUGGGUCUGUGCUGGGCUCGAAAAAUUGGCUCGUUCGAUGGGUGCAUGUGCAUGAUUGAGAUUGAGUCAAACUUGAACUGACCGGCGACGGAAACAAGCCAAACCCUAGCGGUGGUUGCUGUCUUGAUUGAUGAAAAUGCCAUUGCAAGUGUGACAAGAUUGGCUAAUAUUGGUUUCUUUGUUGUGUAAACGAAUGGUGGUGGUAUCACCUCUGUUGAGCUGUUGCGGUGCUAGGAUUGAUUUGGGCGAGAUUGUAACCAUUAUGAAUGAUGUUAUGACAACAGACAGACCUAAACAACUCCCAUCAUUGAGGCAGGUAACCUUCCUCUA